GGGCGGUUAGCUCAGUGGUAGAGCAUUACCUUGACAUGGUAGGGGUCGGGGGUUCGAAACCCUCACCGCCCACCA
rnacentral:tRNA from 6 species